rnacentral:rRNA from 1 species
CCCUUAGAUGUUCUGGGCUGCACGCGCGCUACACUGAUGCGCUCAACGAGUUUUAACCUUGCCUGGAAAGGUUGGGUAAUCUUUUUAAAACGCAUCGUGAUGGGGAUAGAUUAUUGCAAUUAUUAAUCUUCAACGAGGAAUUCCUAGUAAGCGCGAGUCAUCAGCUCGUGCUGAUUACGUCCCUGCCCUUUGUACACACCGCCCGUCGCUACUACCGAUUGAAUGGCUCAGUGAGGCCUUCGGACUGGCCCAGGGAGGUUGGCAACGACCACCCAGGGCCGGAAAGUUGGUCAAACUUGGUCAUUUAGAGGAAGUAAAAGUCGUAACA